GACGAACGCUGGCGGCGUGCUUAACACAUGCCAGUCGAACGGUGAAGCGCCUUCCUUUUUGGUGAGUGUGGAUGAGUGGCGAACGGGUGAGUAACACGUGAGUAACCUGCCCCCUUCUUCUGGAUAACCGCAUGAAAGUGUGGCUAAUACGGGAUAUUCUGGGUCUGUCGCAUGAUGGGUCUGGGAAAGAUAUUGUUUCGGUGGGGGAUGGGCUCGCGGCCUAUCAGCUUGUUGGUGGGGUGAUGGCCUACCAAGGCGGUGACGGGUAGCCGGCCUGAGAGGGUGGACGGUCACACUGGGACUGAGACACGGCCCAGACUCCUACGGGAGGCAGCAGUGGGGAAUAUUGCACAAUGGGCGCAAGCCUGAUGCAGCGACGCCGCGUGAGGGAUGGAGGCCUUCGGGUUGUGAACCUCUUUCGCCAGUGAAGCAGGCCUGCCUCGUUUGUGGGUGGGUUGACGGUAGCUGGAUAAGAAGCGCCGGCUAACUACGUG
rnacentral:rRNA from 1 species